GAUGAACGCUGGCGGCGUGCCUAAUACAUGCCAGUCGAGCGAACAGACGAGGAGCUUGCUCCUCUGACGUUAGCGGCGGACGGGUGAGUAACACGUGGAUAACCUACCUAUAAGACUGGGAUAACUUCGGGAAAGCGGAGCUAAUACCGGAUAAUAUAUUGAACCGCAUGGUUCAAUAGUGAAAGACGGUUUUGCUGUCACUUAUAGAUGGAUCCGCGCCGCAUUAGCUAGUUGGUAAGGUAACGGCUUACCAAGGCAACGAUGCGUAGCCGACCUGAGAGGGUGAUCGGCCACACUGGAACUGAGACACGGUCCAGACUCCUACGGGAGGCAGCAGUAGGGAAUCUUCCGCAAUGGGCGAAAGCCUGACGGAGCAACGCCGCGUGAGUGAUGAAGGUCUUCGGAUCGUAAAACUCUGUUAUUAGGGAAGAACAAAUGUGUAAGUAACUAUGCACGUCUUGACGGUACCUAAUCAGAAAGCCACGGCUAACUACGUG
rnacentral:rRNA from 1 species